AUAAAUACAUGUGUUCCGUGAAGGCCUCAAAGUUUGUUAGAGAACAUUACUAAACAAACAGCGUCAUGAAGACCAAGGAGCUCACCAAACAGAGCAGCAUUAAGUGCAUCAUUAGAAAAUGGAAAGAACACGGCACGACAGAAAAUCUACCAAGAGAAGGAAGCAGGCCAAGAGAGCAUUAAUCAGAGAAGCAACGACGAGUCCAGUGGUAACUCUGGAGGAGCUGGAAAGAUCUACAGCUCAGGUGGGAGAAUCUGUCCACAGGGCAACUAUUAGUUCUGCACUCCACAAAUCUGGCCUUUAUGGAAGAGUGGCGAGACGAAAGCCAUUAAGAAAUCCUGUUUGGAGUUCACCACAAGCCAUGUGGGAGACACAGCAAACAUGUGGAAGAAGGUUCUCCGGUCAGAUGAGACCAAAAUUGAACUUUUUGGCCUGAAUGCAAAACACCAUGUGUGGCAGAAACAAGGGCUGAACGAUUGUGAAAAAAUAUCUACUUGCGAUUAUUUUGACUGAUAUUGCAAUUGUGAUAUGAUUUGUGAUAUUAGAGGGAUUAAAUUUUUACAUCAUUA